GACAUUUCUCAGUCAGCAUUAAAUCUUUACACUUUGUGUUCUCUUGAGUAAGUUAGUAUUUUCUAAGUAAGCGCUUGGUGAAAUGUAUUUGAAUGCAGCCUUCUGUAUUGUGGCAACAUCUACAAUUGUGAUUUCACUAUAUGAAUACUGCAACAGCUGCUGAGAAAGUGACGCAUUUAGAGUUCUUUUAUGCAAAAAGCUAC